rnacentral:tRNA from 1 species
GGAAAUCUCCUAAUUUUUAGAUAGUAUAGGGGCGGAUGUAGCCAAGGGGAUCAGGGCAGUGGAUUUGUGAACCCCCCA